AAUCCCAUUCCGCUUGCGGAAAAUGGGAUUUCUUUUUUAGAGACACAAACCCCAAUGAGCAUGCAGCGCUUUGCGCGAAAUGCGAAUGGGGGUUAGAAUUGCGAGAGUGCGGAGCACAAAGCAAUUCGUAG
rnacentral:sRNA from 1 species